rnacentral:rRNA from 1 species
GGCGAACGCUGGCGGCGUGCCUAAUACAUGCAAGUUGAGCGCUGAAGGUUGGUCCUUGUACCAACUGGAUGAGCAGCGAACGGGUGAGUAACGCGUGGGGAAUCUGCCUUUGAGCGGGGGACAACAUUUGGAAACGAAUGCUAAUACCGCAUAAAAACUUUAAACACAAGUUUUAAGUUUGAAAGAUGCAAUUGCAUCACUCAAAGAUGAUCCCGCGUUGUAUUAGCUAGUUGGUGAGGUAAAGGCUCACCAAGGCGAUGAUACAUAGCCGACCUGAGAGGGUGAGCGGCCACAUUGGGACUGAGACACGGCCCAAACUCCUACGGGAGGCAGCAGUAGGGAAUCUUCGGCAAUGGACGAAAGUCUGACCGAGCAACGCCGCGUGAGUGAAGAAGGUUAUCGGAUCGUAAAACUCUGUUGGUAGAGAAGAACGUUGGUGAGAGUGGAAAGCUCAUCAAGUGACGGUAACUACCCAGAAAGGGACGGCUAACUACGUG